GGCCUGAUGGUCUAGUAGUAUGAUUCCUUGUUAGGGAAGCUGUUAGCUGCGUCUUAUCGAGGAGGUCCCGGGUUCAAUUCCCGGUCAGGCCC